GAUGAACGCUGGCGGCGUGCCUAAUACAUGCAAGUCGAGCGAACGGACUAGAAGCUUGCUUCUCUGAUGUUAGCGGCGGACGGGUGAGUAACACGUGGAUAACCUACCUAUCAUACUGGGAUAACUUCGGGAAACCGGAGCUCAUACCGGAUAAUAUUUUGAACCGUAUGGUUCAACAGUGAAAUACGGUCUUGCUGUUUCUUAUAGAUUGAUCCUCGCUGCAUUAGCUAGCUGGUAAGGUAACGGCUUACCAAGGCAACGAUGCAUAGCCGACCUGAGAGGGUGAUCAGCCACACUGGAACAGAGACAAGGUACGGACUCCUAAGGGAGGCAGCAGUAGGGAAUCAUGCGAAGUGGGCGCACGCCUGACCGAGCAACGACGCGUGAGUGAUGACGGUCUCCGAGGCGGAGAACACUGUUAUUAGGGAAGAAAAUAUGUGUAACUAACUGUGCAGAUAUUGCAGGCACCUGAAGAAGAAGCAACGCCUAACUACGUG
rnacentral:rRNA from 1 species